GGGCGACGGUUGUCCCGGUUUAAGCGUGUAGGUGUGUGUUCCAGGUAAAUCCGGUUCACUUUAACACUGAGGCGUGAUGACGAGGCACUACGGUGCUGAAGCAACAAAUGCCCUGCUUCCAGGAAAAGCCUCUAAGCAUCAGGUAACAUCAAAUCGUACCCCAAACCGACACAGGUGGUCAGGUAGAGAAUACCAAGGCGCUUGAGAGAACUCGGGUGAAGGAACUAGGCAAAAUGGUGCCGUAACUUCGGGAGAAGGCACGCUGACACGUAGGUGAAGUGAUUUACUCAUGGAGCUGAAGUCAGUCGAAGAUACCAGCUGGCUGCAACUGUUUAUUAAAAACACAGCACUGUGCAAACACGAAAGUGGACGUAUACGGUGUGACGCCUGCCCGGUGCCGGAAGGUUAAUUGAUGGGGUCAGCGCAAGCGAAGCUCCUGAUCGAAGCCCCGGUAAACGGCGGCCGUAACUAUAACGGUCCUAAGGUAGCGAAAUUCCUUGUCGGGUAAGUUCCGACCUGCACGAAUGGCGUAAUGAUGGCCAGGCUGUCUCCACCCGAGACUCAGUGAAAUUGAACUCGCUGUGAAGAUGCAGUGUACCCGCGGCAAGACGGAAAGACCCCGUGAACCUUUACUAUAGCUUGACACUGAACAUUGAGCCUUGAUGUGUAGGAUAGGUGGGAGGCUUUGAAGCGUGGACGCCAGUCUGCAUGGAGCCGGCCUUGAAAUACCACCCUUUAAUGUUUGAUGUUCUAACGUGGACCCGUGAUCCGGGUUGCGGACAGUGUCUGGUGGGUAGUUUGACUGGGGCGGUCUCCUCCUAAAGAGUAACGGAGGAGCACGAAGGUUGGCUAAUCCUGGUCGGACAUCAGGAGGUUAGUGCAAUGGCAUAAGCCAGCUUGACUGCGAGCGUGACGGCGCGAGCAGGUGCGAAAGCAGGUCAUAGUGAUCCGGUGGUUCUGAAUGGAAGGGCCAUCGCUCAACGGAUAAAAGGUACUCCGGGGAUAACAGGCUGAUACCGCCCAAGAGUUCAUAUCGACGGCGGUGUUUGGCACCUCGAUGUCGGCUCAUCACAUCCUGGGGCUGAAGUAGGUCCCAAGGGUAUGGCUGUUCGCCAUUUAAAGUGGUACGCGAGCUGGGUUUAGAACGUCGUGAGACAGUUCGGUCCCUAUCUGCCGUGGGCGCUGGAGAACUGAGGGGGGCUGCUCCUAGUACGAGAGGACCGGAGUGGACGCAUCACUGGUGUUCGGGUUGUCAUGCCAAUGGCACUGCCCGGUAGCUAAAUGCGGAAGAGAUAAGUGCUGAAAGCAUCUAAGCACGAAACUUGCCCCGAGAUGAGUUCUCCCUGAGACUUAGAGUCUCCUGAAGGAACGUUGAAGACGACGACGUUGAUAGGCCGGGUGUGUAAGCGCAGCGAUGCGUUGAGCUAACCGGUACUAAUGAACCGUGAGGCUUAACCUU
rnacentral:rRNA from 1 species